CUAAAUCAAAAGAAACAUCUUCCUUCUCAACCUGAAGAGAGCCAACUAAACAGGAAAAUAAAUCUUUGGCAUUCCAAGAGAGUGAUCCUGAAGUGUAACCUCCAUCAUACCAUCUAGAUGAACCACUGUCCAAAAACGUUCUAAUAAAGGCAGAGAAUAAGGUUGUUCCAAGGACCAGUUGAAAAGCCCGAGGUUCCGUCAGUGGCCAGAACUGAAGCUCAUCAUGAUUUGGACACUGCAGCUGAAACCCCAGAGACUUAGGCACUGAGCAACAAUAAAGAUACUGUAUAAUCAACUAGGAUUACGGCAAGAAAACACAAAGUGCUUUUCAGAUCAUAAAAGAAAUGAUUAUCACGAGGAAAGGGAAGUGACUGUUGGAUUCAAAAGGCAAUCAGAGAAAAAUUUUAAAAAGUAAACAUAAAAUAUCACCCUCUAGCCCAGAAGAUGUUAAAAUCUCAAAGAAAAAUUUCCAAAGAAAAUAUAAUAAGCUCACAGAAGAAAAAGCAUUUACGCAAUCCAUUUUAGGCUGUACACUUUGCUAAAUGAUCUGCAAAAUUAGAAAAAGAAACUGAUUCAUUGUAGAGGUGCGUUAUCUGAAGAGUACGUAGUGUCCAGAAAUUUUGUUGUUUCUUUCGUCAGAAUCAAUGUGAGGUUUGCAUUAGUAAGGAUGGUGACGUUAUUAAAACAAAGAAGAAGAAAAAAAAAGCUAGAGAACUGGAUCAAGAUGAGAAGCAAAAGGGAGUGUCAACAAUGUUCAUUUCCCAGUGUGGAGAGAGCUUAUAGAAAUAUAAUAAAGUACCUUCAUUUUCCUUCAGCUAAUACAUAAAGUCAAAAAUCCUCAGUACUCCUGAAAAAAGAUUGUCUCUACAAAUGAUGCACUCUUUAAAUGCCAUUCAAUAGCUGUUGUUGAAGUUUGGCUCCUGAAAAAGCUGCAGCUAUAGUUUUCAUGUGGCAAAAACGUCACUCUGCACUUCAGUUAAUUGUGCAAUGCCUGGCCACUGUUUUGUUUCAUGGGCACAUGUGUCAAUGAUUUCAUUCUUUAACAGUGCUUCUUGUCCUUUUAUGUCUCAAAACACCUGAGGUAAGUUUCAUUCUCCCAUCAGUGACAGUGAUUCUCUACGGUAAUCAUGAGACCUUUUGUAGGAGGCCAUGUUAGGUGCUAGAACCUCUCAGCGGUGGGAAGUUGAGAAGCGACAUCAGAGUCAAAUAUCUUCCUCA
ensembl:lncRNA